GUUAUCUAGAAUUUUCCGUUACAAGCAUAUAUAUAUGCAGACCCUAAAGAUAGACAUGGACUCAGACAUCGAUAGACAUCAACAUUCUCAGCAGUUCGAUUGACACUUUUAUUUACUAACAACAUCAUACUAAAUUGUGACCUAUUGGACGUAAUAUUCUGUGGAUUCCUGUGAAGAUUUCCGGAUAAAGAAAAGAUAAAAGAUUGGACUCAUAUUUUGACAGUUAAGUUUACAUUACCAUUUGUGUAAUACUUCUUGUAAACUUGUGUAUAAAAAAUCUUGUCAAUUUU